UACAGAGACUGCAAGCGUUAUUCGGAUUCACUGGGCGUAAAGGGUGCGCAGGCGGCCGUGUGUGUGAGGCGUGAAAGCCCGGAGCUUAACUCCGGAAUUGCACCUCAAACUACAUGGCUAGAGCAUUGGAGAGGGUAGCAGAAUUCAUGGUGUAGCAGUGAAAUGCGUAGAUAUCAAGUGGAACACCAGUGGCGAAGGCGAGUCUCUGGACAUUUCCUGACGCUGAGGCACGAAAGCCAGGGGAGCAAACGGG
rnacentral:rRNA from 1 species